rnacentral:rRNA from 1 species
UGCAGUCGAGCGAGCACUUAAGUUUGAUUCUUCGGAUGAAGACUUUUGUGACUGAGCGGCGGACGGGUGAGUAACGCGUGGGUAACCUGCCUCAUACAGGGGGAUAACAGUUAGAAAUGGCUGCUAAUACCGCAUAAGACCACAGUACUGCAUGGUACAGUGGUAAAAACUCCGGUGGUAUGAGAUGGACCCGCGUCUGAUUAGGUAGUUGGUGAGGUAACGGCCCACCAAGCCGACGAUCAGUAGCCGACCUGAGAGGGUGACCGGCCACAUUGGGACUGAGACACGGCCCAGACUCCUACGGGAGGCAGCAGUGGGGAAUAUUGCACAAUGGGCGAAAGCCUGAUGCAGCGACGCCGCGUGAAGGAUGAAGUAUUUCGGUAUGUAAACUUCUAUCAGCAGGGAAGAAAAUGACGGUACCUGACUAAGAAGCCCCGGCUAACUACGUGCCAGCAGCCGCGGUAAUACGUAGGGGGCAAGCGUUAUCCGGAUUUACUGGGUGUAAAGGGAGCGUAGACGGCUGUGCAAGUCUGAAGUGAAAGGCAUGGGCUCAACCUGUGGACUGCUUUGGAAACUGUGCAGCUAGAGUGUCGGAGAGGUAAGUGGAAUUCCUAGUGUAGCGGUGAAAUGCGUAGAUAUU